GCUCCCAUGGCGUAGUGGUCACUGCGGUCGCCUUGCACGCGGGAGACCCGGGUUCGAUUCCUGGCGGGGUCA
rfam:Asian citrus Psyllid, Diaphorina citri - Florida Strain, whole genome shotgun sequence.